AUCAUCCGCCCCGAUUCAGGUGCCGUGCCUCGCGCUCUGCGGGGACGGUGAAACGGGAAGCCGGUGACUCCAGGGACCACCCAGGACAGUCCGGCGCAGCCCCCGCUGCUGUAAGCCAGACGACGCUGCCUCACGCCACUGUGGUUCAUCACGGGAAGGCCGGCAGGGAAGGAUGAAGGCAAGCCAGAAGACCGGCCUGACAUCACAAGUUGCA
rnacentral:ncRNA from 2 species